UCCUACGGGAGGCAGCAGUGAGGAAUAUUGCGCAAUGGGGGAGACCCUGACGCAGCCAUGCCGCGUGAGUGACGAAGGCCCUAGGGUUGUAAAGCUCUUUCAGAUGCGAAGAUAAUGACGGUAACAUCAGAAGAAGCUCCGGCUAAAUUCGUGCCAGCAGCCGCGGUAAUACGAAUGGAGCGAGCGUUGUUCGGAAUCAUUGGGCGUAAAGCGUAUGUAGGCGGAAAAGAAAGUCAGGAGUGAAAUCCCAGGGCUCAACCCUGGAACUGCUCUUGAAACUUCUUUUCUAGAAUCCCGGAGAGGUCAGGGGAAUUCCGAGUGUAGAGGUGAAAUUCGCAGAUAUUCGGAGGAACACCAGUGGCGUAGGCGCCUGACUGGACGGGUAUUGACGCUCAGAUACGAAAGCGUGGGGAGCAAACAGGAUUAGAUACCCUGGUAGUCCACGCCGUAAACGAUGUGUGCUAGUUGUCGGGUCUUUAAGAUUCGGUGACGCCGCUAACGCAUUAAGCACACCGCCUGGGGAGUACGGUCGCAAGAUUAAAACUCAAAUGAAUUGACGGA
rnacentral:rRNA from 1 species